CACAGAUUCUACAAUGUAGAAAAAAAGAAAAACAUUGAAUGAGAAGGUCCAAACUUUUUACUGGUACCAAAAAGUAAUGCAAAAGUGAUGUAACAAAGCAAUCAUUACAUCAUUAUUGUAUGUCGCUUUGGACAAAAGCAUCUGCCAAAUGUAAUGUAAUGUAAUUUUACAUUGAUAAAGUUUUUACUUUUGAAAAACUGAUCUAACUAAAUUGCAAUAAAAACAUUCUUCUUUUUAAUGAUUUAUUUUUGUAAUUGAUAGAAGUGCAGGUGUCCCAUAGUUUGUGAUAGAUCCAUGUUUAGUACAGCUGGUGUUGUUCGGCCCACAUUGUUACAUAACUUUGUUAUUUUUAUUUUCCUCGAUUUCAGACCAUCAACACAAAAAUAUGAACAUAGUUCACAUUAGAUUCCUAUUCAGUACUGCAAGUUGCUUUUUUGGUCUAAAUUGUUACAUAACUGUGUUUUUAAAUUUCUACUCGUCAAUGCAAAAAGUACCCCUGUUUGUAUCCAGAAAAUGCCUGUAAUAUCUUGGGAAAAGCUGCAAAUCCCAGCAGCUCAUGCUAUGUCACCAUAAACACCCGAAUUGGAACUGUCACUAAUUACCGUAUUUUUCGGACUAUAAGGCGCACCGUAUUAUAAGGCGCGUUAAGUGACACUAGAAAGGGUGCCUAUAUCAAAGUGAACAGGGGUGGCGCCAUGUUUCCCUUCCCCCCGGGGGGGGGGGUGUCUUGCCGGUGGAGCGUCUCAGUAUACAAAUCUAGCUCUUUCAAAGUCAAACGAGUGCUGGAUAUUAAUCUACACAGAUUCCUCUCCUGAAAACUGUUUAUUUGGCCCCCCCCUGCUCUCUCCCAUGUGUACAGAUGCUUCAGAGAUGACGCAGCAGCAUUGUAGUCACAGCUUGCUUGGCUGCCGAAGAGGAGAAUUUCUUGAGGCGAUGUGCAGUGAAGUUGUCCCUGGUCCCCAAACCCCUACUCCAAUAAGCAGACACUUGGGCAGAAGGCUGGCUGUGGAGGAGAAGAACUGAAAAGAAUUGAAGGAACAUUUACAACCACGUACCUAUUAUCAGAAUUUUAAUGAAUUUCCAUAAGCUGUGACCUUAUCAAGUCAAAUCAACAGUUAAAUACAAAGAUACAUGCAUAUUCUGUAUAUCUUAAUGAUGGUUUUAUAUGACAAGGCCUUAUUUUGGGAAAGUUUAGUUGUUUUAACCGCUAUUUUCCCUUUGGAAACAUUUUUGUGCAUUAUUGAGUCAAAACCUAC
rnacentral:lncRNA from 1 species